rnacentral:rRNA from 1 species
UACAGAGGUGGCAAGCGUUGUUCGGAAUUACUGGGCGUAAAGGGCGCGUAGGCGGCCCACUAAGUCAGACGUGAAAUCCCCCGGCUUAACCUGGGAACUGCGUCUGAUACUGGAGGGCUUGAGUAUGGGAGAGGGAUGUAGAAUUCCAGGUGUAGCGGUGAAAUGCGUAGAUAUCUGGAGGAAUACCGGUGGCGAAGGCGGCAUCCUGGACCAUUACUGACGCUGAGGCGCGAAAGCUAGGGGAGCAAACAGG